UAGGGAAUUUUCCACAAUGCCCGCAAGGGUGAUGGAGCGACGCCGCGUGAGGGAUGAAGGUCUUCGGAUUGUAAACCUCUUUCGUUUGGGAAUAAGGUUUUGGCACUAACAUUGCCAAAAUUUGACGGUACCGAAGGAAGAAGCUACGGCUAACUCUGUGCCAGCAGCCGCGGUAAUACAGAGGUAGCGAACGUUGUCCGGAUUUACUGGGCGUAAAGGGCUUGUAGGUGGCCAAAUAAGUCAGUUGUGAAGUCGUUCUGCUCAACAGAACAAUUGCUUCUGAUACUGCUUGGCUUGAGUGCAGGAAGGGAAAAUGGAAUUUCCGGUGUAGCGGUGAAAUGCGUAGAUAUCGGAAAGAACACCUGUGGCGAAGGCGGUUUUCUGGCCUGCAACUGACACUGAGGAGCGAAAGCGUGGGGAGCAAACA
rnacentral:rRNA from 1 species